rnacentral:rRNA from 1 species
UCAGUCGACUCCUACGGGGAGGCAGCAGUGGGGAAUAUUGCACAAGUCGGGGGAAACCCUGAUGCAGCCAUGCCGCGUGUGUGAAGAAGGCCUUCGGGGUUGUAAAGCACUUUCAGUAGGGAGGAAGGUAGUGUAGUUAACACCUGCAUUAUUUGACGUUACCUACAGAAGAAGCACCGGCUAACUCCGUGCCAGCAGCCGCGGUAAUACGGAGGGUGCGAGCGUUAAUCGGAAUUACUGGGCGUAAAGCGCAUGCAGGCGGCCUGUUAAGUCAGAUGUGAAAGCCCGGGGCUUAACCUCGGAAUUGCAUUUGAAACUGGCAGGCUAGAGUCUUGUAGAGGGGGGUAGGAAUUUCAGGUGUAGCGGUGAAAUGCGUAGAGAUCUGAAGGAAUACCAGUGGCGAAGGCGGCCCCCUGGACAAAGACUGACGCUCAGAUGCGAAAGCGUGGGGAGCAAACAGGAUUAGAUACCCUGGUAG